UACGUAGGUGGCAAGCGUUGUCCGGAAUUAUUGGGCGUAAAGCGCGCGCAGGCGGUCCUUUAAGUCUGAUGUGAAAGCCCACGGCUCAACCGUGGAGGGUCAUUGGAAACUGGGGGACUUGAGUACAGAAGAGAAGAGUGGAAUUCCACGUGUAGCGGUGAAAUGCGUAGAGAUGUGGAGGAACACCAGUGGCGAAGGCGACUCUUUGGUAUGUAACUGACGCUGAGGCGCGAAAGCGUGGGGAGCAAACAGG
rnacentral:rRNA from 1 species